AAACCAUUUUUAUAUGCAUAAAUCCGCGCCCACGUUAGCUGCCCUGGUUCAUCGAGCAAACCCACCCCUCUCAGUUUCCGUCCACUUUUAUAUAUGUCUAUAUGCUUACUUGCAGAGGGAAGGGUACCCUAGAACACCUGGUGCGGGACGAGGUGGCCAUAGCCCGGCAGGUUGGCUCCAUAUUGAAUGUAAAGGGAAGGCUAUUAUUGGGGGCGAGUCCAGUGGAACUAAGGCCUAAGGAUAGUGGUGUACGGGGACGCGUCCUAACUUGAAGAUCCUGUUUAGCAUUUUGGUGAGGUUUGAGAUGAAAUGAUUUUUGUUUUGUUGGUUAACAUUAGAGCCUCUUAAUUAUUUUGUAUGGCCUUCGAGCCCCAAACUUAUGAGAUAUUGGAAGUGUAACUGAACCUUAAUUUAGUUUCCGCUGCUAGUAAUGA